rnacentral:tRNA from 1 species
GGAUCUGUAGCUCAGUUGGUUAGAGCAACCGGCUCAUAACCGGUCGGUCCUGGGUUCGAGUCCCCGCAGAUCCA